GUCGACCAAAAGAGAGAGAGAAAGGGAGAGCAAAAGAAAAAAAUUCUUUCUUCUUGAAUCUUAGCCAAACCAAGUGAGAAAAUCCAAUUUUAAACCGAUUAAAGUGGAGGUUGUGAGUUGGGAAGCUUGAGGAACUAAGAAAUUUCUAAGGGGGUGAAGAAUCACUCUUCCAAGACUUGCUUUUGAGGUAUAAACAUCUGAUCAUGAUCCUUGUUGCUUUAAUCUUGCUUUAAGAUGUUUUUUUUAGCUUAAGUUUUGGCUUGAUUUCAUGAUUAUCCAAGUGGUUGUGAUGAAUUUUGGGAUGAAUAAGCAAGCUAGGGUUUCAGAGUUUCUGCCUAAACUUGUUGUGUGGUUGUAAAUGUUGUAAAUAAGGUUAUAUAAGGUUGUUUGGUAGUGAUUAGAACAAGAAAUUUGAGAAAAUUCCAUUAAAUACCAAAAAUUCCAGAAUCUGGAAAAUUUUCCCCAACUUUCUGUCCGGUUUUGUAACCCUAUGUUAGAGGCCGAAUUGGCCUUAGGUCAAAACAUGAAAGUUGUAGAGAAUGGUAUUUUAUAGGUUCCUGUAAAAUUUCAGCUCAAUCGGAGCAACGUACCAUGUGAAAAGACGAAAAUACCCUUGCUGUUUUAGGUUACCUUCCAGAAUGCCGCGUGGACAGUUCAGUCUAUUUGAUGGUAUUUAUUCGCUGUAAUCCGUUCAGUUUUAGUCUUGGCCCAAAACAUGAAAGUUUUAGUGCCCUGUCUUAGCUUUCUAACGCCUCAAAGAACACCUUAAUCGGACCUUGGUAACCUGAGAUAUGACCAUUCCAGUGCAGUGUGGUUAAAUAGCCGACUAGUUGGGUUUUGGUUCUGUAAAUUGAGGAUUUGACUAGGUUGCAUUGGAAAAUGGACCAAGUGAUCUUCAUGAACAUUGUAUCCCUGAGUCUUAGCUUCGAAACGGCAUAAGUUUCGCCUCAAUCCAAUAAGCGUAGCCUCGGAUGUGUUAUUUCCGCAACCAUACGUCAAAUCUGUCUUUUGCUAGGUUACAUUUCCACCCUUAUUAUCACUUUGAUUUUUGUUCUUAUGUUGUGUUGAGCCUAUGGAAUGGCUAAUGAACUGAAAUUAUAUUGUGGAUGAUGUUGGGUUGGAUUGUGUAAGGAUUGAAGCCAAAAUGGCUGGAAAAUUUGGUAAACACAAAGGGCAUGCUGCCCGAAUUUACACUCGAGGACUAGGAAACUAUACUUGUAACGUGAGUAAGGGUUAAGUGAUUAUCACUCGAGCUAGCGAGGACCUUGCUGCUUUGUUAUCAAGGGUUAUAUGUUAGGACUUGGCCGAACUUGUACCCUUGAGAAAUGAAAUCAUGAUUGCUCGGAGUAUAUUUUCCUUGUACUUUCGACUCGCAUGGCAUUUUCAAGUAAAAAUGUUACAAAGUUUUACUGUUUAAAAAGCGAGCAAGUGUUUCACGACUACUCUCCAAGUGAAUUUCAAUUUCUUGAUCUUUAUUGACGAAACGUCUAAGUUUCGAAUUCUAGACAUGUUUCAAAGUUCUCAAACUGAGUUUAUCGCAUAUUUGGACUCCGAACCCAGAGUAUAACCUGAAAGUGACCAGUAAAGGCACUAUAUCUUGUGGUGAGUGCUUUCAAAUACUGAAUUGCACUAGAUACUUGAACUUGAUACGUGACCAAUAUGAGUACAUGUUAUAUACGUGAAUUGACAGGGCAAGAGUGUACUUUAUCGCACUUGCUCUUACGUGAUAUACUUGUUUAUUGAUUGCAAUUGACUUGAUAUACUUGAUGUGCGCACUUCCUGGAAUUCCAGAAACUCUGUGGCGAGUUACUCUAGUCGAGCCGGCAAGGGCUUGGUCGAUUGGGUAACGAACCCUGGGUCUCUUGUUUUGUCGAGUGGAGUGAUACCUCCUCGGCUAAUCGGUAUACUCGAGUAUUACCACCCAUGUUUAUUGAGGAUUUUGGGCCCAGUAGGGGGUGUGAAUGGUGGACGGAUAGUCGUGUAAGUGGUGCUCUACUGGAUUGGUUCCUUUACUUGAAAGUUGACGGAGUGUCAACUACUACGUGAUCAAGCUCCUGAUGAUGAAUGGAAGUUGGCUCCUGAGGGCCAUCCGUAUCCUUAUGCUUUGGAUUGAUUAUUGCUUAUUGGAUUAUUGUUGAUUUUGAAAAACUUUUACACUCGCUCAUUUUGAGAUUUCUACUUGACGUGUUAUUGUUCACAUUUAUGAACUCUUCAUGCUCCUUACUUUGCUAUAUCGAAAACUUGUACUUAUAAAUAAUGGUCAAUUUGCUAUUUGGAACCUCACUGGGCUUUUAGCUCAUACCACGUUAUUUGUUUUCCUUACAGGGGUACGAGCGAGGCGUGAGAUAUGUAAAGACUAGCGUAGUCUAGUUGUUUGACUUUUGACUUGUACUCGCGCUAUUCCUCGAAUGGAACAUUUUGUAUUUGGAUUGUAUUCGUUUUGAACUAGUUUAAGUAUAUCGAGACUUUGUACCCUGAUCUCUAUCAAUGUAAAUUAUAAGUUUGAAUUGUGG
rnacentral:lncRNA from 1 species